rnacentral:lncRNA from 1 species
ACCGGCAUAUCAAAAAAAAGCAGCGAAAAAUAAUUUGCACUUUUUAAAAUUUUUCGAAAGCCAAAUACAUAUCAUAUAUGAAAAUCGAAAACCAAUAAAUCAAAUCGUUACCGGUGGAUCAUUCUCAUGUUACUAUACAAAAUUUAAUCUAAACGAAAACUCUUUAUGUUUAGAGAUCUUACCGUGAAACAGAUAAGAUCUCUUGAUUUACUGUACGGUUGAUAGUAUAAAUUGCAAUCAUUGCUCUGAGGUUCUGGGAUAGCCGUGCACGUGCCCGGCCUUUACACAUAUCCAUACGGAAUCGGCUCAUAUCCGAUCGAUUUGCGUCUCACGAACCGGAUGAGUUACAGACUAUUUGGACGGUGCUAGCAAUCCCUUCAUGAAACACGCAUACGGAAGAGAAAUCAAAGAGAAAUUGAUCUCCAUAUAUAUAUA